AGCGGUCUCCGGCGAGUGUUGUCGUCCGCUUCCUCCCCAAUCCCCGCCCUCAUCUCUCCCCCAAUCCCCUCCAUCUCUCCCCAAAUCCCCUCCAGUUUCUCUUCGCCCCUUAUCCUCCGCUGGUCUUCUCCAUGCCUGGAGAGGCAAAGGGAACCAUGACACCAUGGAUGAGGAGGCGGAGCUCGAUGUGGAGGAGCACCCGGGAUGUCCCAGCAGCACCCAGGGAGGAUUCCAUCGCCAUGUACGCACAAUCCCUAGGUGUCCAGGCAAGGUGUUUGUGUAAAUGCCUUAGGGAAAAAACUGCUAUGGCAAGAUGAUCGAGAUGCUACUGGCCUCAUCCCCGUCAAGGAGAGGCUCCUCCGACCUUGGCGCCCUUCCCUCCACCGCCUUCCUCUCCCCGAGCUUGCAUUGCCGGGCAGAAAUUCUUUCCAAAAUAAUCAAUUGUCUAUGCAUUUUAAACUCUAUGGACUUGUGUACCAUAAUGCCAGGUUUAAUGAGUUUCUUUCCGUGACUUUUUGCCAGAUCUAGGAAUUUUCUAGGUUAUUCACAUAGAGUAAAGUUCCAGUGUCGCAGCAUCACCAUGUAUAAUUUUUAAAAUAUGGGUGAACAAUGUCAUUGACGGAUGAUGUGAUUAUGCUCUUAAAUUACUUCUAUAUAUGGGUACUGGCUUUAGUGUACCUGGUGUGUGGUGUGGUACCAGCAGUUAAAUAAGGCACUCCCCAUUCUCUGGUUUAUAUAUCUUUUAAUCAUGUAUCUGAAUUAUAGAAGUUUUUUGGGUGUUUAAUAUAUGGUGAACCGGCAAGAUAAUAGACAUUUCAAAAUGCACCCUUUACUUUCUGUUGACCCUGGAGAUAGUGGGACUGCUUUUCAUUCACAUGUUGUGUAAAACCUGAGUUUUUUUGGGAUUGUAUUCUCUAGCUUUCCUGGUUAUCACCCUAUUUGUGUAUCUUUCUUUUCCUGAGAUAAUGGUGUAUGCAUUUCUUGAUUUUUUUGUAAGGAUGGGGUUUAUCCCUUAAUUUCCAAGAUAUUCUAAACAAGAUAAAAGAGAGUGAUGUAUGCUGCAAGCCAAGUUGAUGCUUGUUGUGCAUAAGUGGCCAGAGUUACGACGUGGGCACGGUUGCUCUCCAUGGCGGCAAGGGGUCAGCCGAAAAGAUGCGUGCUAGGCAAGAUUGAAAGUCCCAAACUUACCUGGACAUCUUCUCCCAUUGAUUUAUUAGUUUCCAGGUGCAGGUUAGUAGCUUCCUAUUUAAUAAUGUGCCAAGCGGAGGUAGUGACCCAAGUUGAGGUUGGUUUUACGUUUAUUUUAUAACAAUGAUAUGCCCGGAAUCGAGGGGUAUAAUGACAGAGCAACAUCUUGCGCAAGUGAAAUCCACACAGCAUGGCAGGGAUUGCGAGGAGAGUUGUGCAGAGGAAGGGCGAGGGAGGACAUGCCAGGAUCUACAAGAUACAGAAACUCUUGUGGGGAGCAUCAGAUAUUUUCUGCUUUUAUUGUCCGAGGUUCAAGCCAUCAGAGGGGUGAUUCAGAGUACCUAUAUGAAACAAAAAUGUGGCAUCCUCGAGAUACAUCAGGUGAUUGCCAUUGUUUUUAAUGUAUCUUCCAGGAAACCAAGAUCGUCCUUCUGACUGCAGAUGAAACAAAUCAAUUGUUGUAUGCAUUCUAGAUACAUGCCACUCAGACUAUAACAGUGUUCAAUUAUGAGUCGAUUGGUCAUUCAUACAGUCUCACUGUUCUUUCUUCCCCGCCUUAAGGUGUGGGUUCCUUUUUAAACUGCAGCUUUGAAAUUUUCAAUUAUAUCAAUAGAGGGUUUAUCAAA